UGAGUACUCCCUCCGUUCGGAAUUACUUGUCUUGGAAAUGGAUGUAUCUAGAACUAAAAUACGUCUAGAUACAUCCAUUUUCGCGACAAGUAAUUCCGAACGGAGGGAGUAUAUC
rnacentral:pre_miRNA from 1 species